ensembl:lncRNA
GCCCAGUCUCGGGCUCCCAUGAGCUCAUGCCGGCCCUGGCCAGCAGGGCGGGGAGGGCAGCCCAGGGCUGAGGCCCUGCCCACGGCCGGCGCUGGACACAGGCAAGGCCUGAUAAGGUCAAGCUGGAGUGGGGUCCGCCCCUCCUCCAGCCUGGCCGCGGGCGGACGUGAGUCAGCACAGGGGGCAUCGGGCAGCCCGGCUGACGCUGCUGGCAGCAGGGGAGGCCGGGGGUGGGCCGCCCGGGCAGGGCAGGGACUGGCCAGGAGGAAUCACCUGCUGCCUCGGCCAAGCCCUGACCUCAGUCCCCACCUUGAGGACCCCACCUCCACUUCCGCCGGGAAAGCCCCUCUCAGAGGCUCCCCCGGGCUUCCUGCCCUGGUCUGGGAUCACCCCUGGCCUUGGGAGGGCUGUCGCCCACCGGGCCCCAGGGCGUCCACACGCCCCUGCCCCAAGACAUCCUCUCGGACCCCCCAGCUGGCCACGACAGACCCUGGCUGUGGAGCUGAGAAAGGGGGGCACCUGGGAGGAGCAGGGACGCUCUGAGAAGCUGGCCCCUGAGCUCUGAGCCAGCUUCCAUAACUUCUGCUCGUAUGACUCAGUUUCCUCAUCUGUAGAAUGGGCUUAUGACUGCCUGCCCUCACAGAGUUGUCACGAGGAUUGAAGGGCUCUUGGCACAUAGUAGGCCUCAUCCGGGCUAGCUCCCCUCCCACAUCCUCUCUAGCUCCCAGGGAGCUGGCCCCAGACCCCAGGACACCUGCAAAUCCCCCUUCACUUCCCAGGCUCAGAGAAUGACAGGAGGGGGACAACCGAAAAAAGCAAAAAACUGAUAUACUUGCUGAAGUGACCAACAAUCCAAACACGUCAAGGGGUGUGGAGUGAGUGGUCCCCUCCCACGCCCUCCCCCGUCCCUUUCUAGAAUAUUCUAGAGAUGGCCUAUGCAGACACAUACAAAGACAGAUUUAUAUCCUCUUCUCCACCUUAAACACACACCGCGGACGGCAGAGUUCCCUCCUGCACCCGGAGGAGGGCCUGUGUCCAUGCAUGCAGAGCCCCCUCGUUCUCAUCUGUGGUGUGUGUCCCAUCAUUACUUAGCCAGACUGUGGCCGGAAGUGCUAUUUAUUUGUCUGUUUGUUAAGACAAGGGAGCAGCUUCCCGGAAGGGUCCCUCCUCGAGUCUGCGGAGGGAGACCUGGGUCUGAGUCAGGUCUGGACGUCCCACUCAAGGGACCUGGCACAUCUUGCCUCAGUUUCCCACCUGUGAGAUGGUGGCCGCAUCCGUCAAUGAGACCGUGUUGCUACCUGCUGGCCCACAGGCUGUAUCCUGUUUAUGGAUGUGUUCUGCUCCUCAAACUUUUCCAAAAUCUGGAGAUUUCACAUUAAAAUCCAGACUUCUGGAUUCUCUUGAAAAAUUAAAUGUCUGGCAACAGCUGGCUAGAGUCAAGGAGCAGCUGCCCUCUCCGGACCGGGCGAGGGUGCUCUGCUUGGCCCAGCCCCCACUACUCUGCAUUGCUCCUCCUCAGGAGCAUCUGUGAUGCUCGCUCAGAGUUGUGCAGACACAGUGAGGGCUCUGAGCGCAGGGUCCCCAGCGGCCAGCGCAGGCCCAGUUUCACCCUCUUGCUGGAUCCUCAGGGUGUCUGGGACUCAGUAGCCAGAGCCGCUGCUGGUCCUGGAACCCAGGGCCGAGCAAGAGGCUCCAGAGUGUCCUCCUGCCAGACGGGAAGCGGAAGUGCCAUGUCCGGGAUGGGCCCUGGGUCUGGGCUCCCAGCCAGGCAGCCGUGUCCUGGGAGGCAGGAGCCGAGACUUCUUCCCUCUGCUGGAGCCGGAAGCUGGGCUCCAGGCACCUGGAGUUCUCAUCUCCUGGUCCCCAGGAUGCGGAUUCCGGCACACGACCCCCACGCCUUCCUCUUCCCCACCUACGUUUGGCAGCCACAUCCUGUAGCGGUGGGUGGGGCCCAAACAGGAGGCAGGGAUGUGGGUGGAAUCCCGGGAGACCUGAGGGGCAUCCUUUCUCAAGGGCAGUUGAAAUCUCUUCUUGGCCCCAGGGUGCCUUGGAGCACGGUUUGAAAAACACUGAUGGAGCCCUUUUGAUAGAUGGAAAAACAGAGGCCUGGAGGGGGGAAGGGGGAGAGUCAGACCCUGGGGGCCCUUGUAGUCCCCACUUCCCAAAAUCUGCUACAGGGCCUGGCAGGUGAAAUUGCACUUCACAGUGCCCCCAGCCCACCUGCCCUGGCAGCCCCCUGCUCUCAUUGUCCAGAAGGCCAGGGAGGCGUUGGGGCUCCAUGACUUCCCGUGUAGGACACCCCACAUCUGCAAGUCUCACUCGGCUGCAUCUGCCAAAUGCCCACCUCACAGGGUUGUGAGGAGCGACAGAGAUGACAAUGCGAAGAACAAGAUGGCCAGGCCUAGCAGCUCCCACUCCCUGCGCUCCGACCCGAGGCUGCACAGGCGGGCUCCGAGCGUCGCCUUGGUUAUCGAGACAGAAUUUACCUCCCAUAAAGCUCGCCCAUUUCAAGCCCCGGAAACACCAGUCUACUCUCUACGGAUUUACCGAUUUUGGACAUUUCAUACAAUGAAAUCAUAUAAUAUGCCGGCUUUUGUGACUGACUUCUUUCACCGAGCAAAGUGUCGUAGCGUGUAUCAGUACUUGAUUCUUUUUUACGGCUGGAUAAUAUUCCACCAUAUAGAUACACCAUUUUGUUUAUCCAUUCGUCCACUGAUGGACAUGUGGGUUGUUCCACUCUUUGACUGUUACGAAGAAUGCUGCCAGGAACAUCCCCGCCCAGGUCUUUGCGAGGACGUGUUUCCGUUCCC